ensembl:snoRNA
CUCAUGGAAGACCUUAUUCUUGCAUAUUGGCAAGGCUGUCACCAUCUAACUGGUAUCAGAUACUGAUUUGCACAAGAACAGUC